CUUCUCCACGUCUUAGCGCAUACUCAGCGUUCUGGAUCAGUCAGGUAAAAUGAUGAUUAAGAUGAAGCCUGUGAUGUUCUUGAUGUGUUUAGUGGCUCAGUCACUAACAGCCCCUGUACCUGAAAGUGAUAGCAAUGAGCAGAUAGCAGCUCAGGGAUACACAACCUUCCAGCUUAUGGAGCUGUACCGAAUGUACAAGCUUCUGCAGCAGCAGGGAAUUGCAGCUCCAGCUCCACCUCAGGUCAGUAAA